rnacentral:rRNA from 1 species
GACGAACGCUGGCGGCGUGCUUAACACAUGCAAGUCGAACGGUGAACCGGAGCUUGCUCUGGGGAUCAGUGGCGAACGGGUGAGUAACACGUGGGCAACCUGCCCCUCACAUUGGGAUAACCCCGGGAAACCGGAGCUAAUACCAAAUAUGACCUUGAUAAGCAUCUAUCGAGGUGUAAAGGAUUCUGGUGAGGGAUGGGCCCGCGGCCUAUCAGUUAGUUGGUGAGGUAACGGCUCACCAAGGCGACGACGGGUAGCCGGCCUGAGAGGGCGAUCGGCCACACUGGGACUGAGACACGGCCCAG